AUUGAACGCUGGCGGCAGGCCUAACACAUGCAAGUCGAGCGGAUGAAGGGAGCUUGCUCCUGGAUUCCGCGGCGGGCGGGCGAGUAAUGCCUAGGAAUCUGCCUGGUCGUGGGGGAUAACAUCCGGAAACGGGCGCUAAUCCCGCAUCCGUCCAGAUGGUGAAAGUGGGGGAUCUUCGGUCCUCACGCUAUCUGCUGAGCCUAGGUCGCAUUAGCUAGUUGGUUGGGUAAAGGCCUACCAAGGCGACGAUCCGUAACUGGGCUGAGAGGCUGAUCAGUCACACUGGAACGGAGACACGGUCCAGACUCCUACGGGAGGCAGCAGUGGGGAAUAUUGGACAAUGGGCGAAAGCCUGACCCAGCAAUGCCGCGUGUGUGAAGAAGGUCUUCGGAUCGUAAAGCACUGUUAGUUGGGAGGAAGAGCAGUAUGUGAAUACCUGGCUGUCUUGACGGUACCAACAGAAGAAGCACCGGCUAACUACGUG
rnacentral:rRNA from 1 species